ensembl:miRNA
UGCUGGCUCAUUUCACGUGUGUGCUGAGAAAAUUCACACAUACGAACUGAGCCAGUAC